GGCAAUCCGGAGAAGCCUGUCGGCGUUUUGCCAUGACAGGGGCCGAAGGUGCAAGGCGAAAACGCCAAAUCUCUCAGGCAAAAGGACGGAAAA
rnacentral:ncRNA from 1 species